rnacentral:lncRNA from 1 species
AGAGGUGGAAGAAACCCGAGACGCUCCAAAGUCAACGCAAGCAAAGGGGAGUGCGGGUCGGGGAGGAAUAUUCUUUUGGAAACGUAAUAUUGGUCUUGGGGCUCUCCAGCCCUUUGGGACUUCCAAUGAGAUCUUAGAAGCGGCAGAAGCAUCGUGAGGGCGGCAGCCCAGGGCCAGCCACGAUUUGAACGCUCUGCCUUGCAGCUCUUCUGGACCGAGGAGCCCAAAGCCCUGCCCUCACCAUUCACCAGGUGCUGUGGGAAGAGCAGCAUGGAGGUGGGCUGAGGUUAGAAGGUGCAGAGCAUGGAAGAAGAUUGUGGGCUAAGUAUUGGACAUCUGUUCUUGAAUAGUCCCUGAGCCUGCCAUAGGAAAGGAAGUUCUCCUGGGUAAGUGAUUGGACUUUUCCUUCUCCUCUAAUAACAUUUUUUCUUGGGCUGUGGCCGAACCUUAGGAUUCUGGUUCAUCCCUUAUUCAGACCAGGU